GCCUACGCAUGCGCCAAACGGCGCCCCCGGCGGAGGACUGCGUCUGCGCAGGCGCGGAACGGCCCGGGACGCUCUCUUCCCGUCGUCCUCCGCGGCCCGGGCGCGCAGCUGCGAUAGUUUCCGGACGCCGCGAGGCGGUGCGCUGCUGAAGGUGGCUCUCGAGGCUCGCGUGGUCGCCUGCGUGCGUGGCACCUCGCAAAGGUUCUUAAGUGUUGAGGAAGAGUCAGGAAAUGGAAAAACUGAUCUUAAAAUUCAUGUUUAAUUGCAAGGAACCCUAAAUAGUCAAAACAAUGUUGAAAAAGAACGAAGUUGGAAGAUGCACACUUGUGAUUUCAGAACUUACUACAAAGCUACAAUAAUCAAGAUGGCACUACUGGCAUAAGACUACACUUUUAGUGCAGUGGAAUAGAGUUGAGAGUCCAGAUAUAAACCCACGCAUUCAUGGGAAAAAAAUUUUUUUUUUAUGUUUGUGUAUUUUGAGAGAGGGGGGGAGAUGGAGACAGAGAAUCCCAAGCAGGCUCUGUGCUGAUAGCACAGAGCCUGAUGCGGGGCUCAAUCUCAUGAAUUGUGAGAUCAUGACCUGAGCCAAAAUCAAGAGUUGGAUCCUGAACCAACUGAGCCACCCAGGUGCCCUUUGGGCAAUUGGUUUUUGACAAGAAUGCCAAGACCAGUCAUGGUGGAAAGAAUAAUCUUUUGAAUGAAUGGUGCUGGAACAACAGACUAUCCAUAUGGAAAAAAUGAAGCUGGACCCUUUAUAUCAUAUAAAAAAAUUAAUUCCAAAUGGAUUAAAGACCUAAAUGUGAGAGCAAAUCUAGGAAACUCUUAGAAGAAAACAAAUAAAUCUUCAUGACCUGGAUAUGACAGUGGAUUCUAGCUAUGACAACAAAAGCACGAGCAAGGAACAAAAGAAAAGAAUUGGACUUAAUAAAAAUUUAGUACGUUUGUGCAUCAAAGGACACUAUCAAGGGAUGGGAAAGACAGCCCACAGAAUGGGAGAAAAUAUUAUUAAGUUAUAUCUGACAAGGGUGUGUAAUCCACCAUGUACAAAGAACUCUCACAACUCGGCAACAAAAAGACAAAACCCAAUUUGAAAAUGGGAGAAGACUUGGGGAGCCUGAGGGGCUCAGAUGGUUGGGCGUCCGACUUCGGCCCAGGUCAUGAUUUCACUGCUCAUGAGUUCAAGCCCCGUGUUAGGCUCUGCUGACAGCUCAGAGCCUGGAGCCUGCUUUGGAUUCUCUGUGUGUGUCUCUCUCUCUUCCCCUUCCCUCCUGGCACUCUGUCUCUCUCUCUCUCUCGCUCUCAAAAAUAAAUAUUAAAAAAAUUUUUAAAAAUGGGCAAAAGACUUGAGUAGACGUUUUUCCAAAGAUGUACAAAUGGCCAACAAGCACAUGAAAAGAUGCUCAACAUUAGUCAUUAAAGAAAUGCAUAUCAAAAACUACAGUGAUAUACCACCUCACCUCCCUGCCAGGACAGCAAGAAAAAGAAAAUUCCCAAACCCCCCAAAAAAUCCAGAAGAUAAGUAUUGGUGGGGAUGUGGAGAAAUUGGUAAUCUCAUACAUUGCUAGAGGUCCAUAAUGAUGCAUCUGCUGUGUUAAACAGUUUGGUGUUUCCUCAACAGGUUAAACCUAGAAUUACUGUAUGACUUAGUGAUUCUGUUCUUAGGUAUUUGUCAUAAGAAUUGAAAAAAAAUUGUCGGAACAAAAACUUAUGUUCAUGAUAGCCAAAAGACAGAAACAACCCAAAUGCCCAUUAGUGGAUGAGUGGGUAAAUAAAACACGGUAUAGUUGUGUGAUUCACACAGUGGAAUACGUGUUACAAUAUAUGUUUGCUUAUUUAUUUUUUCUAUUUUAGAGCACGAGCUGGGGAGAGAGUCAGAGGAAGAGAGAAAAUCUUAAGUGCAGAGCCUGAAGCAGGGCUCAAUCCCACGACCCUGGGAUCAUGAUCUGAGCCGAAAUCAAGAGUCGGAUGUUCAGUCGACUGAGCCACCCAGUCACACUGCGAAUGGGAACUGGGAAGAUGGUGCAGAUUAGAAGACAGCGAGGUGGCAGCCCGGGGUCGGCCCCACAUCGAGCUCAUGUUUACCGGCCUCUCUGCUUGUGUCCUUGCUGGGCUGACGCACCUGCGAGGAUCAACGCCUCCUGACAGGAGCUUGAGCCAAGAAGGGAGCUGAACACCCGUGUACUCGCACCUGCAGGGUCCCCACCCUGCGUCUGUGGCCUACCGUGACUCCAGCAGUGUGCGGGCGAC